GUCAGUGUGAUGAUUGUC
rnacentral:miRNA from 1 species